GACGAACGCUGGCGGCGUGCUUAACACAUGCAAGUCGAACGGAAAGGCCCUGCUUUUGUGGGGUGCUCGAGUGGCGAACGGGUGAGUAACACGUGAGUAACCUGCCCUUGACUUUGGGAUAACUUCAGGAAACUGGGGCUAAUACCGGAUAGGAGCUCCUGCUGCAUGGUGGGGGUUGGAAAGUUUCGGCGGGUGGGGAUGGACUCGCGGCUUAUCAGCUUGUUGGUGGGGUAGUGGCUUACCAAGGCUUUGACGGGUAGCCGGCCUGAGAGGGUGACCGGCCUCAUUGGGACUGAGAUACGGCCCAGACUCCUACGGGAGGCAGCAGUGGGGAAUAUUGCACAAUGGGCGGAAGCCUGAUGCAGCAACGCCGCGUGCGGGAUGACGGCCUUCGGGUUGUAAACCGCUUUCGCCUGUGACGAAGCGUGAGUGACGGUAAUGGGUAAAGAAGCACCGGCUAACUACGUG
rnacentral:rRNA from 1 species